UACGUAGGGGCGAGCGUUGUCCGGAGUUACUGGGCGUAAAGGGCAUGCAGGCGGUCGGACGCGUUUCGGGUGACAGCGGGUGGCUUAACUACCCGAGUGGUCGAAAGACGGUUUGACUUGAGGACGCGAGAGGGACACGGAAUUCCGGGUGGAGUGGUGAAAUGCGUAGAGAUCCGGAGGAACACCGAAGGCGAAGGCAGGUCUCUGGGCCACUACUGACGCUGAGAAGCGAAAGCAUGGGGAGCGAACAGG
rnacentral:rRNA from 1 species